UACGUAUGGAGCAAGCGUUAUCCGGAUUUACUGGGUGUAAAGGGUGCGUAGGUGGCGGUGCAAGUCAGAUGUGAAAUGCCGGGGCUCAACCCCGGAGCUGCAUUUGAAACUGCAUGGCUCGAGUACAGGAGAGGCAGGCGGAAUUCCUAGUGUAGCGGUGAAAUGCGUAGAUAUUAGGAGGAACACCAGUGGCGAAGGCGGCCUGCUGGACUGAAACUGACACUGAGGCACGAAAGCGUGGGGAGCAAACAGG
rnacentral:rRNA from 1 species